rnacentral:tRNA from 1 species
GGGGUUGUUGCUCAGUUGGUAGAGUGUUUGUCUUGCAUGCACAAGGCCCUGGGUUCAAUCCCCAGCAGCGCUC